rnacentral:rRNA from 1 species
ACCCUGUUGAGCUUGACUCUAGUCCGACUUUGUGAAAUAACUUAAGAGGUGUAGAAUAAGUGGGAGCUUCGGCGCCGGUGAAAUACCACUACUUUUAACGUUGUUUUACUUAUUCCAUUAGUUGGAGGCGGGACUCUGUCCCUGCUUCUAGCUCUAAAGCGUCGCUUCGGCGCUGAUCCAGGUGGAAGACAUUGUCAGGUGGGGAGUUUGGCUGGGG